UACGAAGGUGGCAAGCGUUGUUCGGAUUUACUGGGCGUACAGGGAGCGUAGGCGGUUGGAUAAGCCCUCCGUGAAAUCUCCAGGCUUAACCUGGAAAGUGCAGAGGGGACUGUUCAGCUAGAGGAUGGGAGAGGAGCGCGGAAUUCCCGGUGUAGCGGUGAAAUGCGUAGAUAUAGGAAGGAACACCAGUGGCGAAGGCGACCACCUGGACUGAUACUGACACUGAGGUGCGAAAGCGUGGGGAGCAAACAGG
rnacentral:rRNA from 1 species